AGAGUUUGAUCCUGGCUCAGGACGAACGCUGGCGGCGUGCUUAACACAUGCAAGUCGAACGGUGAAGCCCAGCUUGCUGGGUGGAUCAGUGGCGAACGGGUGAGUAACACGUGAGCAACCUGCCCUCCACUUCGGGAUAAGCCUUGGAAACGGGGUCUAAUACCGGAUAUGAGCACUCACUGCAUGGUGGGUGUUGGAAAGUUUUUCGGUGGGGGAUGGGCUCGCGGCCUAUCAGCUUGUUGGUGGGGUAAUGGCCUACCAAGGCGUCGACGGGUAGCCGGCCUGAGAGGGCGACCGGCCACACUGGGACUGAGACACGGCCCAGACUCCUACGGGAGGCAGCAGUGGGGAAUAUUGCACAAUGGGCGAAAGCCUGAUGCAGCGACGCCGCGUGAGGGAUGACGGCCUUCGGGUUGUAAACCUCUUUCAGCAGGGAAGAAGCGAAAGUGACGGUACCUGCAGAAGAAGCGCCGGCUAACUACGUGCCAGCAGCCGCGGUAAUACGUAGGGCGCAAGCGUUGUCCGGAAUUAUUGGGCGUAAAGAGCUCGUAGGCGGUCUGUCGCGUCUGGUGUGAAAUCCCAUGGCUCAACUGUGGGCUUGCAUCGGGUACGGGCAGACUAGAGUACUGUAGGGGAGACUGGAAUUCCUGGUGUAGCGGUGGAAUGCGCAGAUAUCAGGAGGAACACCGAUGGCGAAGGCAGGUCUCUGGGCAGUUACUGACGCUGAGGAGCGAAAGCAUGGGGAGCGAACAGGAUUAGAUACCCUGGUAGUCCAUGCCGUAAACGUUGGGCACUAGGUGUGGGGCCAGUUCCACUGGUUCUGUGCCGUAGCUAACGCAUUAAGUGCCCCGCCUGGGGAGUACGGCCGCAAGGCUAAAACUCAAAGGAAUUGACGG
rnacentral:rRNA from 1 species